UACAGAGGGUGCAAGCGUUAAUCGGAAUUACUGGGCGUAAAGCGUGCGUAGACGGUUGCGUAAGUCGGAUGUGAAAUCCCCGGGCUCAACCUGGGAAUUGCAUUCGAUACUGGAUAGCUAGAGUUCGGCAGAGGGAAGCGGAAUUUCGGGUGUAGCGGUGAAAUGCGUAGAUAUCCGAAGGAACAUCAGUGGCGAAAGCGGCUUCCUGGACCAGAACUGACGAUCAGGCUCGAAAGCGUGGGGAGCAAACAGG
rnacentral:rRNA from 1 species